rnacentral:rRNA from 1 species
UAAGGAAUAUUGGUCAAUGGAGGCAACUCUGAACCAGCCAUGCCGCGUGCAGGAAGACGGCCCUAUGGGUUGUAAACUGCUUUUAUUCGGGAAUAAACCCCUUUACGUGUAAAGGGUUGAAUGUACUGAAGGAAUAAGGAUCGGCUAACUCCGUGCCAGCAGCCGCGGUAAUACGGAGGAUCCAAGCGUUAUCCGGAUUUAUUGGGUUUAAAGGGUGCGUAGGCGGCCUGUUAAGUCAGGGGUGAAAGACGGUGGCUCAACCAUCGCAGUGCCCUUGAUACUGAUGGGCUUGAUUUCAGUUGAGAUAGGCGGAAUGUGACAAGUAGCGGUGAAAUGCAUAGAUAUGUCACAGAACACCGAUUGCGAAGGCAGCUUACUAAAGUGAUAAUGACGCUGAGGCACGAAAGCGUGGGGAGUCAAACAGGAUUAGAUACCCUGGUAGUCCACGCCCUAAACGAUGAACACUCGAUGUUAGCGAUAUACAGUUAGUCG